CUCACCUGUUCACCCGCUGCAUCAGCCUGGUAGUUGCGGACAGGUCGCUGUCUCUGACCUCCUGGAUGAGGACAAUGUCGUACCGACGCACGACCUACCCAAACACAGCCUGCUUUAAUAGGAACUCGAGGCAGUGUUUAUGGAUGAGGUGGGUGAGAGCCAGGUGGAGUGUGGUGGAGAUGGCGUCGUCUGUUGAGCGAUUGGGGCGAUAUGCAAAUUGCAUUGGGUCCAGUGAAGGAGGAAGCUGGUCUUUAAUGUGCCUCCUGACAAGCCUCUUGAAGCACUUCAUGAUGAUGGGAGUGAGUUCAACGGGACGGUAGUCAUUGAGGCAGGACACUGGAGACUUCUUCAGCACAGGGAUGAUGAUGGUGGACUUGAAGCACAUGCUCUCCAUGGACCUCCGAUAAGCCUCUGCUGAAAGAAAUUCCAAAGACAUGCAGUCAGGCCAACUGGAG